rnacentral:tRNA from 1 species
GGUCGCUUAGUGUAGUGGUUAUCACGUCUGCUUUACACGCAGAAGGUCGUGGGAUCGACCCCCACAGUGACCA